rnacentral:rRNA from 1 species
GAUGAGCGCUAGCUACAGGCUUAACACAUGCAAGUCGCGGGGCAGCAUGGGGGUUGCUUGCAACUCCCGAUGGCGACCGGCGCACGGGUGAGUAACGCGUAUCCAACCUGCCCUUCACCACGGGAUAACCCGGCGAAAGUCGGACUAAUACCGUAUGUUGUCCAUUGACGGCAUCCGAUUUGGACGAAAGGCUUUGCGGUGAAGGAUGGGGAUGCGUCCGAUUAGCCAGACGGCGGGGUAACGGCCCACCGUGGCUACGAUCGGUAGGGGUUCUGAGAGGAAGGUCCCCCACACUGGAACUGAGACACGGUCCAGACUCCUACGGGAGGCAGCAGUGAGGAAUAUUGGUCAAUGGGCGUAAGCCUGAACCAGCCAAGUAGCGUGCAGGAUGACGGCCCUAUGGGUUGUAAACUGCUUUUAUGCGGGGAUAAAGUGGCCCACGUGUGGGCUUUUGCAGGUACCGCAUGAAUAAGGACCGGCUAAUUCCGUG